GUGCCAGCAGCCGCGGUAAUACGGAGGAUGCGAGCGUUAUCCGGAUUUAUUGGGUUUAAAGGGUGCGUAGGCGGCCUGUUAAGUCAGCGGUGAAAUCUAGGAGCUUAACUCCUAAAUUGCCAUUGAUACUGGCGGGCUUGAGUGUAGAUGAGGUAGGCGGAAUGCGUGGUGUAGCGGUGGAAUGCAUAGAUAUCACGCAGAACUCCAAUUGCGAAGGCAGCUUACUAAGGUACAACUGACGCUGAAGCACGAAAGCGUGGGUAUCAAACAGGAUUAGAUACCCUGGUAGUCCACGCAGUAAACGAUGAUAACUGGGCGUAUGCGAUAUACAGUAUGCUCCUAAGCGAAAGCGUUAAGUUAUCCACCUGGGGAGUACGCCGGCAACGGUGAAACUCAAAGAAAUUGGCGG
rnacentral:rRNA from 1 species